rnacentral:rRNA from 1 species
GACGAACGCUGGCGGCGUGCCUAAUACAUGCAAGUUGAGCGCUGAAGGUUGGUACUUGUACCAACUGGAUGAGCAGCGAACGGGUGAGUAACGCGUGGGGAAUCUGCCUUUGAGCAGGGGACAACAUUUGGAAACGAAUGCUAAUACCGCAUAAAAACUUUAAACACAAGUUUUAAGUUUGAAAGAUGCAAUUGCAUCACUCAAAGAUGAUCCCGCGUUGUAUUAGCUAGUUGGUGGGGUAAAGGCUCACCAAGGCGAUGAUACAUAGCCGACCUGAGAGGGUGCUCGGCCACAUUGGGCCUGAGACACGGCCCAAACUCCUACGGGAGGCAGCCGUAGGGCAUCUUCGGCAAUGGACGAAAGUCUGACCGAGCAACGCCGCGUGAGUGAAGAAGGUUUUCGGAUCGUAAAACUCUGUUGGUAGAGAAGAACGUUGGUGAGAGUGGAAAGCUCACCAAGUGACGGUAACUACCCAGAAAGGGACGGCUAACUACGUG